AUGCUAUUAUUAUCUCUCUUAGUUCUCUUCCUCACCUCCCCGGCUUCGUCGGAAGGUCAGGCACUUUGCAGCGACAAUAAUGGCGGCAUGUACAUGCCAAACAACACCUACAAAUCCAACCUUGUAUCCCUCGCCGAAUUACUGUUUGCCAAAGCCACAAAGGAGCACUCAGCUACUGGCACGGCUGGCAUAGGACCAGACAAGGUCUAUGGUGCAGUGCUUUGUCGGGGUGAUUCUGAUGGCUCCGACUGUCGGGAGCGCCUAGCCAGGGCCCUUGAUGAAGCAAUCAACAGCAAAGCUGGCAACUCUUACUCCCUCCAGAGUAAUAACGUGACCUACUACUACGACCAAUACCAGGCACAGAUAAGCUUCUCCGACCAGGACUUCCUUUCCAACUUCAGCGACAUGCCCGGGUGCACCGUGAAUACUAACCUGAAUUAUGUGACGGACACUGUAGUAGCCGAGCGUUAUGAAGACCUUGUCACCAAGCUGCUGCAUGCGCUUGCUGAUGUUGUGGUGAGCCGAGCAAAAAAAUAUGCAGUCGGCAAAGUGUGGUUUGAGGAGACAGGACAGACGGUGUAUGGGCUGGCGCAGUGCAUACGGGAUAUGCCAUAUGAGCAUUGCGCGGCAUGCCUGGAUCGCAUAAUCUCUGGCAGGCAGAGUAAGAUCAUUUCUGGCCAGAUGGGGGCAACACUUCUUGGGGUGUGGUGCACAUUGCGUUAUGAGACGAACACAAAGUUCUUUACUGAUACCAAGAUGCAGUCGCUCGAUGCGCUCCCAAGAAGUAAGACACACUUUUUUCGAUGGAACAAUGCAGUCUUGGUUGGCGUUGGAGGUUUCAUACUAGUAAUAUCAAUUUCUUGCUUGGUUUUCCAUAUCUGGGUCAAAACACAAUGA
rnacentral:rRNA from 1 species